UGAUAUGAUACAUAAAGGUUUGUGUCAUGGAGAGAUUGAAGAUUAACUUCAUGGAAUUUGGUCCAAGGUGGAGAUUGUUAGGAAGUGUCCCAAAUUCCUAAUUAGUAUAGAUUCCUUUUUUUGUAAAGAAUAUUAUAUAGAAUAUUUCUAGGUUAAUAUAUUAUUGUAAUAUUAGACUUCCUUAUAGAAUAAGGAAGGUUGUUGGAAAUAUCUCUAUAAAUAUUCUAGGUCAUGAGGGAAAAAAGUCAUGAGAUGGAAAUGGACCUGUAGAGAUUAUACGAGGUGGAUAAAGAUGUGAGGAAGAACAGGAGGUACUCUGUUGAGCGAGAGGGCUCGUAGUAGGGUAUGGAUACAAGGAGUGGGGAAACAUGUGAUGUUUCAGGAACCCAAUAGUUAUAUUUGGUUCUGUCCUCUGUAAUAUUCUCUAUUGUAUAGUGGAAUCAUUCUCUCUCAUCCUUGGACGUGGGCAUGAUUGGCCGAACCACGUUAAAACCUCGUGUACCAUAUGUGUGAUUAUUUUAUCUUUGUGUUCUCAAACUAACAUUGUUGGCAUCAAAGCUUUCGCUGGCACAACAACUGGUAUCAGAGCUUGGGUUAAAGAUUUCUGGAAUAGUAAAAGAUCACAAAGCACACAAGAUGAAAACAAAAGGAAUUUUCACUUAAGGUGGAGUCGAUUGCUCUUUCGUGGUGAUAUGAUACAAAAAGGUUUGUGUCAUGGAGAGAUUGAAGAUUAACUUCAUGGAAUUUGGUCCAAGGUGGAGAUUGUUAGGAAGUGUCCCAAAUUCCUAAUUAGUAUAGAUUCCUUUUUUGUAAAGAAUAUUAUAUAGAAUAUUUCUAGGUUGAUAUAUUAUUGUAAUAUUAGACUUCCUUAUAGAAUAAGGAAGGUUGUUGGAAAUAUCUCUAUAAAUAUUCUAAGUCAUAA
rnacentral:lncRNA from 1 species